GACGAACGCUGGCGGCGUGCCUAAUACAUGCAAGUAGAACGCUGAAGAGAGGAGCUUGCUCUUCUUGGAUGAGUUGCGAACGGGUGAGUAACGCGUAGGUAACCUGCCUUGUAGCGAGGGAUAACUAUUGGAAACGAUAGCUAAUACCGCAUAACAAUGGAUGACACAUGUCAUUUAUUUGAAAGGGGCAAUUGCUCCACUACAAGAUGGACCUGCGUUGUAUUAGCUAGUAGGUGAGGUAAUGGCUCACCUAGGCGACGAUACAUAGCCGACCUGAGAGGGUGAUCGGCCACACUGGGACUGAGACACGGCCCAGACUCCUACGGGAGGCAGCAGUAGGGAAUCUUCGGCAAUAGGGGCAACCCUGACCGAGCAACGCCGCGUGAGUGAAGAAGGUUUUCGGAUCGUAAAGCUCUGUUGUAAGUCAAGAACGGGUGUGAGAGUGGAAAGUUCACACUGUGACGGUAGCUUACCAGAAAGGGACGGCUAACUACGUG
rnacentral:rRNA from 1 species